rnacentral:rRNA from 1 species
ACGGAGGGUGCGAGCGUUAAUCGGAAUUACUGGGCGUAAAGCGCGCGUAUGUGGUCUUGUAAGUCGGAUGUGAAAGCCCCGAGCUUAACUUGGGAACGGCAUUCGAUACUGCCUGACUAGAGUAUGGGAGAGGAGAGCGGAAUUCCCGGUGUAGCGGUGAAAUGCGUAGAUAUCGGGAGGAACAUCAGUGGCGAAGGCGGCUCUCUGGACUAAUACUGACACUGAGGCGCGAAAGCGUGGGUAGCAAACAGGAUUAGAUACCCUGGUAGUCCACGCCCUAAACGAUGUCAACUAGCCGUUGGGUUCAUUUAAGAAUUUAGUGGCGCAGCUAACGCGAUAAGUUGACCGCCUGGGGAGUACGGCCGCAAGGUUA